GAUGAACGCUGGCGGCGUGCCUAAUACAUGCAAGUCGAGCGAACAGACGAGGAGCUUGCUCCUCUGACGUUAGCGGCGGACGGGUGAGUAACACGUGUAUAACCUACCUAUAAUACUUGGAUAACUUCGGGAAACCGGAGCUAAUACCGGAUAAUAUAUUGAACCGCAUGGUUCAAUAGUGAAUGACGGUUUUGCUGUCACUUAUAGAUGUAUCCGCGCCGCAUUAGCUAGUUGGUAAGGUAACGGCUUACCAAGGCAACGAUGCGUAUCCGACCUGAGAGGGUGAUCGGCCACACUGGAACUGAGACACGGACCAGACUACUACGGGAGGCAGCAGUAGGGAAUAUUCCGCAAUGGGCGAAAGCCUGACGGAGCAACGCCGCGUGAGUGAUGAAGGUCUUCGGAUCGUAAAACUCUGUUAUUAGGGAAGAACAAAUGUGUAAGUAACUAUGCACGUCUUGACGGUAACUAAUAAGAAAGCCACGGCUAACUACGUG
rnacentral:rRNA from 1 species